GACACAGAAUAUAACAGAAUGGCUCUUCUAAGCUUGAGUACAAACACAGAAAAAGAUCCUGUGUAAUGUCCAGCUUUCUGUCAACCAUGCCUGAAACAAUUCACACAUAUCUUUCUCCAAUAAGUAUUUCACUUGUACUGGUGUACAUUGCUGAUCUAUAUGUUUGCCAGAAGUCACAUUCAAAAAGAAAAGAAAAAGAACAGACUAAGGAAAAAAAUACUAAAAGAAUAACUACUGCUUAAAACAAGACCUCAGAAAUAAGAUCACAACCAUAAAAUUAAUGU